UCGUUCUGGAUUUCAGCUAUGUCUUUGAGGAAAUUGCAACCAUUUAUUGUUGCUUUAUUGUUACUUAAAUUAGUAUGGAUUCAACAAUACAUAUCCACAGGAUCUGAAAUUUUACUAAGAAUGGGUGGGAUACUUGGGGAGUUUCAAUUAGUUCUCAAACUUUUAGUACAAAUGGGUUGGAUACAACUGUACAAAUGGGUGGGAUACUUUUAGUUCUCAAACUUAUUGUUGUUUCAGCCUAAAUGAUAAUUUUAUUUCUAUUUCAGUGUUUUUUUCAUUGACUUACUGUACAACACCAUAAUAAUUCAAUCUCUAUUUUUUCUGUCCAUACAUUUUGAUUUUACCUGCUUUAAAUAUGUUGUCAUUCAGGAAGCACUGAGCUGCUGCAUUGGAAAUACGAGGAACUGUGCAAGAAGCUGAUAUUCACUCGACGGCAAGAAAUAGUCUCAUAUUUUUCUUCCAAGUAGUAUGUACCAUUCCCCACUUUGAUACUUAUGAACACCUAUUUGGUAUAUCCUUUUCCUAGUUACAGUUCAUCCAGAACAGGAGUAGGAUUUAUGGUUCAUGAUCCAACUAAAAGAGAGGUGUAAUAUCCUCUGCCCUUGACAUGGUAUGGUACAUACUAUUAUUUCCCUACCUGUCUCCAAAUUCAUGUAUUGAUUAAUUUUGAUUCAAGUUUUCUAUCUCGCAAGAUCAUGCUAUCUUCAGUAUGCUCAAGAACAUCUGAAUCAUACCUAGACAUUAUAUUUCAGAGUAUUGACAAUGAAACUGUACCAGGAAAUGCCUAUUACCAACAACUAUGCUCAAGAUAUGAGUGCUCUGUUAUAACUAUUAACAAGACAAAGAUAUGCUCAUGGGCUCCUAUCAUAGGCCAUACUAUAUGUCAUCUUAAUUUAGUUACUCCUUUUACUACUUGCUUCUUGGAAUUUCUUACUGUCUUAUUAUCUAGUACUUAACAAUUCUUGUGUAUUCCUCAUAUUUAAGCUCACAGUGUUCUUCCUUCUCCCUUAAGUUGUAUUUUGUUUUCUUUCUUAUAUUAAAGAUUGAACAAUUGCAGUGCAAGAACACAAUUGGUUCCUGCUGGAGAAGGUGUGAAAUCUUGCCGAGUUGCACACAAUCAAUUAAAAUAGUAUAUUUGUACAUUGUCGGAACUAGUUGAUUGUAGCUCUUAGUUGUACAAGGUGGAUGCAAGUGCCUCGGUGCGAUGACCUGUAGAUAUUGCGUUGCUCUGGAAAUUAUCAGUACAUUGCAUAGAUGAAUGGAUGUCACUCCUUACAUUGUUGUUCUGAACUUCUGUACUAAUUUACUGAAGCAUCAAGUAACAACUAUCCUCUGUUUGGGGUCACCCCUUUCCCUAGUAGUGUUACAUUCUAUUUCCUUAUGAUUUUUUGAUAGUCUUACUAUGCAGUACAAUAACAGUCUGUUCGCUAACUUGUUUGUCCAUACCUUCUUAUUUUAGUCUCUUUCAUUAUCUUAGGUUUUGGGAAGAAUUAAAUGAACAUCAUCAGUGCAACAUAGAGGUUAAAGCAGGUGGUUGAGUUUGCAAUUCAUUCUUAUUAGGAGCAAAAUUCAAGAUUGGGGAUCUAUGAGAGAUGCAAGAGCCUCUAAUCAAGCAAAAGGGUAACCUUGAAGAAAAGCUUGCAACUUAAGCUGCAACAAAAAGAUUUUAGAAAAUGAGAUCUCUUGUGCAUAUUUAGUUGAUGCACUUGUGUGUUUUUAGAUGUUGCACCUCUAUUUUCAUUGACCUUCGAUUCAUGUACGUAAAUUCUAUGGAACUGUAUCCGAAGACAUGUGAAUUUGUAUCUAUGGUUGAUGGAAACAA